ACGAGCGGCGGACGGGUGAGUAAUGCAUAGGAAUCUGCCCGAUAGUGGGGGAUAACCUGGGGAAACCCAGGCUAAUACCGCAUACGUCCUACGGGAGAAAGGGGGCUUCGGCUCCCGCUAUCGGAUGAGCCUAUGUCGGAUUAGCUGGUUGGUGAGGUAAAGGCUCACCAAGGCGACGAUCCGUAGCUGGUCUGAGAGGAUGAUCAGCCACAUCGGGACUGAGACACGGCCCGAACUCCUACGGGAGGCAGCAGUGGGGAAUAUUGGACAAUGGGGGGAACCCUGAUCCAGCCAUGCCGCGUGUGUGAAGAAGGCCCUCGGGUUGUAAAGCACUUUCAGUGAGGAAGAACGCCUGGUGGUUAAUACCCAUCAGGAAAGACAUCACUCACAGAAGAAGCACCGGCUAACUCCGUGCCAGCAGCCGCGGUAAUACGGAGGGUG
rnacentral:rRNA from 1 species